CAAAAGAGUCGCACGUAACAUCAUUUCAAUAAUCUUAAAAUUUUAUCUUUUAUUUCUACUACACCGUUUGAAUGCAUCUCACUAUAAAUAACAAAAAUAAGACUCAAAACCAAACGUUAGGCAAAAAAAAGCAUCCGCUGUUUCCAUUCGUUAAACACAAACGGCCAAAAGAAAAACCCUUCCUCGCCGAUCUGCUUUGCAGUUUGCCCCAUGUUCUAUUUCUUCUGUGCAACAAUGUGCAAAUUUGCCCACUUAGAUUUCUGCCCAUAUACGAAGAAAUUAUUGUUCAGAGAAAGCGACCGAUUGGAAUUUUUCUGGUAGAAGAGGAAGAAUAAGCGUUAGACUAUUAACGCACCAUGGAUUGAGAGAGGGGUACCACCACAAGCCUCCACUCCACCCGCUAUUAGACUAACGGAAUCGCUACUAGUAAAGUUUUGUUUUAAAUUAAAAAAAAAAAUUAGGGAUUUUGUUUUUUAUUUGGAGAAUCAAUUGGGUGUUAAUUAUGAUUUAGAUUGGUAUUAUGGGUCUGAUUUGGUUUUGAUUAAGGGAUACGGAGGUAGAAGAACCAAGCAGAGUUUGUAGGCGCCAAGAGAAAGAAGAAAUAUUUAAGGCCGACUAUUGUCCGUUCCCUCGCCAGACUUGGGCCACCGGAACCGCAAGCAAGAAAAAUCUAUGGACCAUCAACACUGUUAGGCCAUAUAUCUGCCACCUAGAUCGUUGGAACCGGAACCGGUCUUUCUGCCAGAACAUCAUACACCCAGAUAGAGUCCAUAAGGCACAGAGAGACAGGCCGUAUACCUACCCCAGCUUCUUUUCCAAUGCCCUCCUUCAGUAACCCACAGAUUAUUUUCUACUUUCUGCCAUGCAUAGCAAAAGACCAAAUCUAUAGAGUUUAGAAGCUGUCUGCAAAUUCCUGCAAUAGCAAAGUGAAAAGGUGGGUUCAUGCUCUGCCCCUAUCUCCUCUCUGUGGCAUCUGCUGUUUGUGUUUGUGCUCUUCCCCCAUCUCCUCUCUGCAACAUAUACGGAAGGUCCACAUCAUCUUACUGUUUCUUCUCCUAUUUGAAUUAGCAUCUUCAAUCUUCAAUAUAUGACAGGUGUAUGUUAGGCAACAUCAACAAUAACAGCUAUGGCAGCAAGUCAACUUCAGCAGCAACAUCACAGGAUUUAUGAUGGCUGAACCAAUGCUCAUGAUUGGUGGCAAUAAUGCUCAACUUAAGUUGCUGCAUAACUCAUGUUGGUGCUGCUGCUGGAGGCUUAAGUAGCUGCAUAAUUGCUGGUGGUGUUGUUGCUUAAAGUCAAAUUCUUUUUUUAGACAAUAUAUGCUUAAAUAUACUACAUUAUUUAAGUUUGAAUGUAAGGCAGUGGAAUUAUGAUAACUAAGUUUAUGUAGGAUGCAAAGUUCAUAACUAAUCAGACUAUUCCAACGUUUAUUGGGUAUAAAAGGAAUUGCAUUUUCUUCAAUGAUCAAAAUGAAACUCAUGUUUUCAA